GUCUCAGUAAUAUAAUCAAUAUAAUAUGCUUUCAACAUAUAAAUAGGUGAUAAUCCUCUGAGAUU
rnacentral:tRNA from 1 species